UACGGAGGGUGCAAGCGUUGUUCGGAAUCAUUGGGCGUAAAGCGCGUGUAGGCGGCUUGGCAAGUCAGUUGUGAAAGCCCGGGGCCCCAACCCCGGAAUUGCAUCUGAAACUGCCUGGCUAGAGUCCCGGAGAGGAAGGCAGAAUUCCCGGUGUAGGGGUGAAAUCCGUAGAUAUCGGGAGGAACACCAGUGGCGAAGGCGGCUUUCUGGGCAUUUCCUGACGCUGAGACGCGAAAGCGUGGGGAGCGAACCGG
rnacentral:rRNA from 1 species